rnacentral:rRNA from 1 species
CGCUCUUGUACCUCAGAACGAACGCUGGCGGCACGCUUCAUACAUGCAAGUCGAGCGGUAAGGCCUCUUCGGAGGUACACGAGCGGCGAACGGGUGAGUAACAGGUGGAUAAUCUGCCUCUUAGUGGGGAAUACCAGUUGGAAACGACUGUUAAUACCGCAUACGAUUAUAUUUCCUUCGGGUUAUAUAAGGAAAGGGCCUUUUGGUCCGCUAAGAGAUGAGUCCGCCCCCCAUUAGGUAGUUGGUGUGAUAAAAGCGCACCAAGCCUGCGAUGGGUAGCCGGACUGAGAGGUUGGCCGGCCACACUGGAACUGAGACACGGUCCAGACACCUACGGGUGGCAGCAGUAGGGAAUAUUGCGCAAUGAACGAAAGUUUGACGCAGCGAUGCCGCGUGGACGAUGAAGGCCUUCGGGUCGUAAAGUCCUUUUAUUAGGGAAGAACAAGCAGAGGAGUAGAACGCCUUUGCCCUGACGGUACCUAAUGAAUAAGCAACGGCUAACUCCGUGCCAGCAGCCGCGGUAAUACGGAGGUUGCAAGCGUUGUUCGGAAUUACUGGGCGUAAAGGGAGUGCAGGCGGCUUGAUCAGUCUGAUAGUGAAAGUCCGGGGCUCAACCCCGGAAUUGCUUUGGAUACUGUCAAGCUUGAGUAUGUGAGAGGUGAGUGGAAUUCCAGGUGUAGCGGUGAAAUGCGUAGAUAUCUGGAGGAACAUCGGUGGCGAAAGCGACUCACUGGCACAUUACUGACGCUGAGACUCGAAAGCGUGGGGAGCGAACGGGAUUAGAUACCCCGGUAGUCCACGCCGUAAACGUUGUCAACUAGGUGUAGGAGGUAUCGACCCCUCCUGUGCCGAAGCUAACGCAUUAAGUUGACCGCCUGGGGAGUACGAUCGCAAGAUUGAAACUCAAAGGAAUUGACGGGGGCCCGCACAAGCGGUGGAGCAUGUGGUUUAAUU